ACAUAUAAUAUUACAGUAUAGUGGUAUAGUUCAAUAUAGUAAUAUAUAAUGCUAAUAUUGUGCUAUGCUAAUACAGUAGAGUCUCACUUAUCCAACAUAAACGGGCCGGCAGAACGUUGGAUAAGCGAAUAUGUUGGAUAAUAAGGAGGGAUUAAGGAAAAGCUUAUUAAACAUCAAAUUAGGUUAUGAUUUUACAAAUUAAGCAUCAAAACUUCAUGUUAUACAACAAAUUUGACAGAAAAAGUAGUUCAAUACGCAGUAAUGCUAUGUAGUAAUUACUGUAUUUACGAAUUUAGCACCAAAAUAUCACGAUGUAUUGAAAACAUUGACUACAAAAAUGUGUUGGAUAAUCCAGAACGUUGGAUAAGCGAGUGUUGGAUAAGUGAGACUCUACUGUAAUAUAAUAUAUUGUAUGUACAUAUAGCUGCUCUGGGUCCCCUUUGUGGUGAGAAGGGUGGGAUAUAAAUGUAGUAAAUAAAUGCUGUAAAUAAAUAAUUAAUUUUAGACUUAGGCUCGGCCAAAGUCUGAAAUGACUUGAAGCCACACAACAACAACAACAAUCCUAAUUAACUUGACUAUCUCAUUGGCCAGAAGCAGGUCCACACUUUCCAUUGAAAUCCUGAUCGGUUUAUGUUGGUUAAAAUUGUUUUCAUUUUAAAAUAUUGUAUUGUUCUUUCGUUGUUGUUGCUGUUUUGCACUACAAAAAAUAAGACAUGUGCAGUGUGCAUAGGAAUUUGUUCGUAUUUUUUUUUUCAAAUGAUAAUUCGGCCCCUCAACAGUCUGAAGGAUUGUGGACCGGCCCUCUGCUUAAAAAGUUUGAGGACCCCUGGUCUGAAGGAUUGUGGACCGGCCCUUGGCUUAAAAAG
rnacentral:lncRNA from 11 species